UCUCAGGCAUUGCCACUGAAGAUGGA
rnacentral:piRNA from 1 species